UACAGAGGAGCCAAGCGUUGUCCGGAUUGACUGGGCGUAAAGCGCACGCAGGCGGGUGCGCGCGUGGGGUGUGAAACCAGGUGGCUUAACUGCCUGUCGCCAUCCCAUACGGCGCGCCUGGAGCCAUCCAGAGGUCGGUGGAAUUGCCGGUGUAGUGGUGAAAUGCGUAGAUAUCGAGAGGAACACCUGCGGCGAAGGCGGGUUGCUGGGCUGACACUGACGCUGAUGUGCGAAAGCGUGGGGAGCGAACAGG
rnacentral:rRNA from 1 species